UUAAAGCAGAAAUCUGAUUUUUCAUGUGGUUCAUCAAAUGUGUUACAUUGAAGUAUUUAUCAAGUAUGAAAAUAUAGCAUUCACUUUGAAUUAUAGCACAGGUAUCUUCCCCAAAUGCUGUAAGGUGUCAAGGGCCUUGCAGUUGUGUUGCACUGCCUUUCUCAUCAUAGAGAUCUCAGAAUUCAAUAGGCUCAUAGCCAGGUUACUAGCAUUUAAAGCUUAUGAAAGUUGUUCGAUAUGGUCAAUUACAUCCUCCAACCCCAUUGAAGGGGCACACACACACAACACACAAGCUGCUAAAUGGUCAUGCCAGUAGAAUACAGAUCUUUGACCCACUGGAAUCAUACCAAUGGUAGAUUGGUUGGGGUUACCUCUAAUUUGUUAACACGUAUGACCUUAAAUUCAUGGGAAUCCCAGGCUACACCUUUGUAUCCAUCCCUGUAGAUGUCAGGCCAUAAAUUAGUGCCACAAAUCCACUGAGUUCCACACCAAUCACUCUCUCUAAGAGUAAUAAUAGGCAUAGUUCAUAAAGCACCCAGCCUUGUCUCAUAGUUACCAGGUUGGUCAUUUUUAGUAUGAUUUAACUAUUCCCAACCUAGAGGAGCCUUUAAACUUAAAUGACCGUAGCCUGGUGUUAACCAUGUAGAUCCACCCUAUAAUUGUGGGAGUUUUCCUUUUGAUAGAUGAGAGGUUAAUUUUUUCUAUUGAGACUUAGCUUGUCACUUUGCUUGAGUUUGAGAGACCCUAAGAGAAAACUUAAAUCUAUGGACAGCAUCAGAGCAGGUAUUAUUAAUUGGCCAUGUGAGAGGAUCUCAUCCAGUAAUAUCAUGAAUAGAUAGAACAGGACUGAACACUCAUCUAAAAUAAAUUUCCUAGGGGGUAUCCAAUCAGAGCCCUAGAGAACAGAAAUCCACCAAGGUAAUGCAGAAGUACUAGGUACAGGUAUUUGGCCACAACCCAACAAUUGGAUUGAGUUUUAAACUAGCAUAGAAUCAAGUCAAUGAUAGAAAACAUGUGAUUGAUAGUCUUAGGUCCAAGGAUCAAGAAAACAUUAUAAAUGAUUGUAAAAGUCAGAUCAGCAUCUUGGGCAAGCAGUCUACUUCUGAUGUUGUCUUCUUCUCAUCCUCACGUAUUGUAGUUUCCUCUGAGCUUUAUUUUAAGUAUUUAGGACCUUACUUACCCAGACAGGAAUUGAACCAAAGCCUCCCUGCAUUGGAAGGCAGAGUCUUAACCACUGUACCACUGGGUAAGUCCUGAUAACUUUGCUUCUGAAGUAUCUUCUCCAUCAUUCCUCUCUUACUCAUUUAUCUCCCUGAAAUGAAGCCUCUCUCCUUCCAUUCCCAACUUUCUCACUCAAGUCACCAAUGGAGCUAUCAGAAACCCAUUUCAAUUGGAUGUUUCCCAGGCCUUAUCUUUCUAGAUAAUCUGAGUUCCCCUAAAAGUAGAACCUGAGGCAAGAAUUCGAGUGUAAGUGGUUUGUUUGCAAGGAGAUUCCAGGAAAUACAGGUAAAGAAGUGAAGAAGUGAGAAGGCAAGGGAAGAAAGUCAACACAGAGUGUGUUAUUAAACAAGUCAGUGUGGUGUGCAACCAGAACUGAAUCCUGUUCCAGGGAACUCUGGGAAGUGGUGUAGAAUCUGAAUCUCAGAGUUACAUUGCUCAAGGGGCAAGGUAGCUGAAAUAGUUGUACACCAGCUUCUGGCAACCAUCAGCUGAUGGCUAUUUGAGGGGAAGUGGCAUGCCUUAAUUCCCUGGCACUUCCAGCCCUCCAUGUCAAUGGACAGAGCAAGAAGCUGGAAACCAGAGAAAGUCCAGGAUCAAAGAGAUGCAGGUUCUGGCAGUUGGAAACCUGGCUGUAUACACUGGUAAGAGCUGAGGAAAUUCAGGCUCGGCACUGACAGCAUUUAUUAGACAUUUCUCUCUGUUGUUUCACAUUGCUGAUGACCCCUCUUGAAACGCCUCCUUCACUUGGAUACUGGUAAUACACCACCCCACUCCUUUUCUGCCCUCUUCUCUUGCCACUUCCUCCCAUUCUUCUUCAUAGGUUGCUUGGCCUUUUCCCCCUAUGUUUAGAUGCUGGUAACAAGCCAACUGUUUCUUCUCAUCCCACACAAUUUCCUCAUUGACCUCAACAUAUCCUUGACAUGAAGCCCAACUGUAGACUGAGUGGUCUAGAUGAAUAUUUCUAGCCCUGCUCUCCUUUGUAGAGUCCACAUCCAACAGCUUAUAAAUAUCUCCACUUGGAUUUCCCAUGAGCACCUUAACCCCAAUGGGUCCAAAACUCACCUCCCCAAAUCUGAUCAUCUUUCUAAAUCUCUCUCUCCCCUGAGUGCCCUCGCUCAAAAUGGCAGCACCAUCUAUCCAGUUUCCCAACCCACAGACCUGGGACCAUCUUUCCUUCACUCUUCCCUCUCCUUACCCCUGAGCCUAAUUGAUCACAAAGUCUUAGCCAUCCUAACUUCUAAUCUCUUUUCUGUGUUCUCUACGUUUAAGCACCACAGUCUAGGUAUAAAAGGGACUUCUAGAUUUCUCUCCUACAUUCUGUUGGCUCCAUUUGGGCUCAUUGCAGGCCCUGAAUCUUCGUUGACUUCAUUCCUGCCUCUUUGGUUUGGAAAGACCUCAGCUUCCCAGGCUCACCUCUAAGUGUUUGCUGUAGCCUUUGAGUUGAACUCAUCCCCAGGAUCUUGCCACUCUUGGUAGGAUUCUGGAUUGGUUGGGAUUAAGUUUGGUUUGGGUGGACUCCGGGUGUUGGUAAUGGACAGGGAGGCCUGGCGUGCUGUGGUUCAUGGGGUCACAAAGAGUCAGACACGACUGAGCGACUGAACUGAACUGAAGUUUGGUUGUGAGUUAUCAAAAUCCAGAAUAACUGGGCCUUAAAUAAGCUGGAAGUAUAAUCAUUUCUUAAAUUAAACAAAAAUCUCCAAAGGAAAUCAGUCCAGGGCUGGUGUGAUUCCCACCCCUACUCCCCCAACAACAGUGUUUCAAUUUCUGCUUCUGAGGGAACCCAAAUGGAAACAAAAGGAUAAAAACUCACUUGGAGCAUUUGACUGAGAUAUGCAGGUGACACAAACCUUACAUCAGAAAGCAAAGAAGAACUAAAGAGCCUCUUGGUGAAAGUGAAAGAGGAGAGUGAAAAAGUUGGCUUAAAACUCAACAUUCA